rfam:Camelus ferus unplaced genomic scaffold scaffold595, whole genome shotgun sequence.
GAGGGUAUAGCUCAGUGGUAGAGCACAUGCCUAGUACGCACAAGGUCCUGGGUUCAGUCCCCAGUACUUCCA